UAAAAAAAAUUCUCUUUCUAUGUAGAAUGGGGCAAUUUUACAACAACUGAUUUCUAAAAAAAAUGUACUAAACACCAAAAUUAGUUUUUUAGUUUUUCAAAGUCAUUUUUUAACCUGUAAAAAACAAUCUCAAAUAAAUCUUAAAUACAAGUACGAUAAUAAUCUAAUUUAUAAAAGGAAUAUACAUUGAAAGCACCCAAAAGCAUAUAAUAUUUUAAUAAGAAAAUUAAAAUUUGAUUAGGCAAAUUAAGUAUAUGAUAUUGAAUAAAAAUUCAAUGUUAAGCUAAGUUUAUGCUAAUCGGCAUUGUAUGAUCAUGAAUUGAGUGCUGAACACUCAUAUUCCGAAUAUUGAAAUUCUUAUUGUUGACUCAAUCCUUAACAAAAACUUAGCUGAGUGCUAACUCCUUACUCUAUGAUGUUACGUAUCGAAUAGAAAUCAAAUAAGGCCAUAUAUAACAACCAAAAAAUCCUUUUUCCUUUUUUGCUUUUGAGGAAAAGUAAAAAGUGAAAUUUGCUGUCAAGCUUUAAUUUAUGCUCCAAACAAUCUAUGCUAGCUAGCUAGAUGUAAGGUGAAUCCCUUCUUUAUGAUGGCCACAAAUUUGAGGGGAAAAACAUGAGUGAUGCAGCAAAAUGUCCCCUCAUCAAUACAUGCCUUUUGCCCACAUUGCCAUCAGCCCAUCUCUUACCCUAAAAACCAAGUGACAAACAUGGUCCCCGCAACAUAAUCAAAACAUUGAAUCUCUCUCUCUCUCUCUCUCUCUCUCUCUCUCUCUCUCUCUCUCUCUCCCUCUCGCUCUCUCUCGCUCUCUCUUUCUCUCGCGCGCGUCUCCAAAUGAGGGUUUUAAUGGGCAAUCUGUGGAGCUGAUCAGCUUUGCAGCUAGAAUUUUUUUUUUCUUUUCUUUUGGGAACAUUUGCAGCUAGAUUUUGGCCAGUAUAUUUAUGUCUUGUGUUGUACUUGUUUCUGUGAAUUCAUUCUAUACCAUUUGCUUCUCUCACCUCCAUUGUUAAUUUCUUUUCAAGUCAUUAUAUUCUAUAAAUUCUCAAUAAAUGCCAUCUAUGGGUAAAAGUAUAAUUGUCUCUCUUAGGUUGUUGUGUUUGAGAUUGAGAUUGGUCAACUGUAUUUUAAAAGUUAUAUUAUUAAAUCGUUUGGUAAACACUAAGGUGGCGUUUGUUUUUUUGUCUGAAAUCUGAAUAAACCUGAAUUAAUUUGAAUUCUGAAUAAAUUUGAAUGUCUGAAUCUGAAUAAUAUGUUUGUUUUUUCGUUUGAAUCUCGGAAAAUAAGUAUUAAGUUUUUUUUUUCAACUUAAAAAGUUAAAAAUAUGUACUUUUAUAUUUGUAUCCUUAUUAAAUUUGAAUGUCAAAUAAAUAAUAUAUUAAAUACCACAAUAUUUUAACAUUUAUAAGUAAA
rnacentral:lncRNA from 1 species